AUUGAACGCUGGCGGCAGGCCUAACACAUGCAAGUCGAACGGUAACAGGUAGCAGCUUGCUGCUUUGCUGACGAGUGGCGGACGGGUGAGUAAUGUCUGGGAAACUGCCCGAUGGAGGGGGAUAACUACUGGAAACGGUAGCUAAUACCGCAUAACGUCGCAAGACCAAAGAGGGGGACCUUAGGGCCUCUUGCCAUCGGAUGUGCCCAGAUGGGAUUAGCUAGUAGGUGGGGUAACGGCUCACCUAGGCGACGAUCCCUAGCUGGUCUGAGAGGAUGACCAGCCACACUGGAACUGAGACACGGUCCAGACUCCUACGGGAGGCAGCAGUGGGGAAUAUUGCACAAUGGGCGCAAGCCUGAUGCAGCCAUGCCGCGUGUAUGAAGAAGGCCUUCGGGUUGUAAAGUACUUUCAGCGGGGAGGAAGGGAGUAAAGUUAAUACCUUUGCUCAUUGACGUUACCCGCAGAAGAAGCACCGGCUAACUCCAUG
rnacentral:rRNA from 1 species